GCCUUGGUGGAACACUGGCAGAUCUUAUAUUCCAAAUUGUUCUAUGGAGUCCGUGGGAAGGCGGAGGUUCGAAUCCUCCCCAAGGCA